GACGAACGCUGGCGGCGUGCUUAACACAUGCAAGUCGAGCCGGUAAGGCCCUUUCGGGGGUACACGAGCGGCGAACGGGUGAGUAACACGUGGGUGACCUGCCCUCAGCUCUGGGAUAAGCCUGGGAAACUGGGUCUAAUACUGGAUAUGACUCCACGGUGCAUGUCGUGGGGUGGAAAGCCUUGUGCGGCUGAGGAUGGGGCCCCGCGGCCUAUCAGCUUGUUGGGGGGUGAUGGCCUACCAAGGCGACGACGGGUAGCCGGCCUGAGAGGGCGACCGGCCACACUGGGACUGAGACACGGCCCAGACUCCUACGGGAGGCAGCAGUGGGGAAUCUUGCGCAAUGGGCGAAAGCCUGACGCAGCGACGCCGCGUGAGGGAUGACGGCCUGGU
rnacentral:rRNA from 1 species